rnacentral:rRNA from 1 species
UACGAAGGGGGCUAGCGUUGUUCGGAAUCACUGGGCGUAAAGGGCGCGUAGGCGGCUUUAUAAGUCGGGGGUGAAAGCCUGUGGCUCAACCACAGAAUUGCCUUCGAUACUGUAUGGCUUGAGACCGGAAGAGGUAAGUGGAACUGCGAGUGUAGAGGUGGAAUUCGUAGAUAUUCGCAAGAACACCAGUGGCGAAGGCGGCUUACUGGUCCGGUUCUGACGCUGAGGCGCGAAAGCGUGGGGAGCAAACAGG